rnacentral:lncRNA from 1 species
CUACAACACACCUAGGCUAUAUGGUGUAGCCUAUUGCUUAGUCUACAAGCCUGUACAGUAUGUUAUUGUAUUGACUAUUAUAGGCACUUGUAACACAGUGGUUAGUAUUUGUGUAUCUAAACACAUUUUAAUAUAGAAAAGGUAUAGUAAAAAUAUGGCAUAAAAGGUAAAAAAUGAGCUGGGUACAGUGACUCAUGGUUGCAAUUCUACACUUAGGCUACCCUAAAUUUAUUUAAAUUUUUUUCUUCAAUAAUAAAUUAACCUUAGCCUCCUGUAAUUGAGUACUUUAAACUUUUCAGUUUUUUAAAACUUUCUGAUUCUUGUAUAAUAACUUAGAUUAAAACACAAACAUUGUAUAGGUGUAUAAAAACAUUUUCUUUAUAUCCUUAUUCUGUAAGCUUUUUUCUAUUUUUAAAAGUUUUUGGCUGGGCGUAGUGGGUCACACCUGUAAUCCCAACACUUCGGGAGGCUUGAGAUGGGAGGAUUGCUUGAGGCAGGAGUUCAAGACCAAACUUUUUUUUUUAAAGAAAAAGAAAAAAAAGUUUUUAUUUUUUGCUUUUUAAACGUGUUUGUUAUGUUA